ACCCUCUAUUAGGGUUGCACCUGGAAAGUGUCCAGUACUCUACCAGUCUGUGCUAUGGGAGGGAGAGCCAAGCAGAGGCCCAUUCAUUCCAUUCCUAGCUUGGGCAGUAGCUAGCAAAUGGAAGGCAAUCUGCUACAAAU